AUGCCUGCUUUCACACAGCCAACUAGUGGUGGGUGGAGCGGAAGAACAAAGGCAGACUUGUUAGGGCUUAGAUGCCUUUAUUAUUCUUUUAUUUGGCUGCAAUUUCUUGUCUGUCUGCCCAUAUUCAUUAAGACUGUGGCUACAUUGGCUUGUGGCUUUUGGAAAAGUUACUGUACUGUGUGUGUGUUUCAAACCCUUUCUGUCAAAAAUCUACAUGCAUCACUGCUGUGGGUAUGGGCCUUACAUGCCGGGGGCCUGCCCGGCGACGGGCAUGACCUCCUUCCUCAGGACCGAGGCAUCGGGCCUCUGGUUUACUGCUGUAAGAGCCAGAUCACUUAUGAUUAUAACAAAGCAGCCAGUCAUUAGAAAAAGUCCCCGUAUCUCUGCACGAACCCAGACACUUGGAUUCAAACUGCAAUGAACAGUUCUACGGCUAAAUACAAAGGCUCUUCUGCUGCGCUGGGUUCAUUAUCAUCUAACAUUACUGACAACAACUUCUUGUCUCCCACAAAAUGAACUCCACAAUGAGCACGAUCAAUACCAAGCAGAUAGCUGAUAAAUUAAUAACAGCAAGGCGCAAACAAAGGCAGCGAAAAGAAGAAACGAGUCCAGAAGUAGGUUUCAAACCACACGGCAGCAGUUGAGAGCUUGGCAUCAUAGUGACUGACUCGCAGGGUAAUAGAGCAGAAGACAAUGUUUAGUAGGACAAUGACGGCAUUUGUAUGAAUCCUAGGGUACACGGACAUAUUUAGACAGGAAUUGUAUUGAUCCUUUUGACUUUUUCCUGGCGAGCACUACUCAACGUCCUCCUUCAACAUACAGGCACUUGUAAACAUACAGGGGACACUUCACAGAUUCCAGGAGCACGAGCGCCGGACCUUGUGCGCUGCUUGUGAGCGUUACACUAAGCUUACACUUCAUGUUACAAUAGCAAGUCAUACAGUAGCAGAACUUUAGCCCGGCAGCAGGUUAAUAAGAGCUUGUGCCAGCAGGAGGACACUGGAGUUCAACAGUAUGUGGUGCAGAAUUUAUCUGGAGGAGGAUUAGUUAGUAAAACCAAGCCAGUUUCUUUUCUUUGUGGGUCUUCUUCAGAAAUUACCAUUAAACGAGUAAUAGCUUGACAUUUACCUGUUUUAUUAACUACAUAUUACUGCAAUCCAUUGAUUAUAUACACUACUACCAUACAGGUAAGAACUUGUAACGUGUACAGACAAUUAACUGUGUGAGAAUGGGCUCCAUCACAGAGACCUGGGCACUGAGGACCUGUGUAUUUGAAGUAUUUUUACUUAUGGCUCACUAGAAAAUGAGUGUGAAAGUAAGUAUGUGGGGAGCUGCACCUCCACAAUUCAAUCACAGAUGGAGGUGGUCUCCCCAUCAGACCUUUAGCUGUCUCCGCUCCUAUGGGGGCCAACACCCAUUAUUUAUCAUACAUACAUCUCUCCCUCAGCACGACUUUUCACUCUAGUCUCUCGUGCUCCGAGACAAUCUUUACUCUUUGCCUCUACAGGCUUGUGUGCACGCGCUGAAGACAAAUCCACCGAUACUUGCACAGGAAAUCAUGCAGACGCCACACACUCAGACAGGUAGUACAUCAAUACAGACUGCUGUUUAUCAGAACGUCGAUUCAUCAACUAGACCAUGUGGUCCAAGGCUUUUCUACAACGGCAAAGCUCCGGUCUGAAUUUAUCUUGCUGCCUCUGAAGGAUCCCCUCUUGCCAGGCAUGAUAGCCUAUGAUGAUUUCACUGUUGAGACAUUUCUUACCAUGUGUCUCGUUUUAUGGCGGAUGUGGCCGUGAUCAAUAAGAAUCAGUAAGGUGGACCUCCUGAUAAAUAUCUGCAAAAGGAGAGGAUCUUGACCAACGCUGUACAACCCGAUCAAACGUGAGAAAUGACAAUGUGGGUCAGAAGUCUGUUGAUCUUCUGUCAGGUUCCACAUACGCUUUAACACACUAAACAGAUAAAGAUAAGAUUCUCGGCAGCCAGUUAUUUUUCCCUACUUUCUGUUUUCAACUAAAUGUACAACAGCAGGAAUGUGACUGUUUAGCUUCUGUGCUACCUUUACAGUACGUACUACAGCACCUACAAAAGGGGAUCAACACCUACAGCACAGUCAUUGGUAGGGAUUCAGAGACGUGUGUGUCCAACAUCCCAAGCUGCACUGCUACUUUAAUGCCACCAGCUCGAGUGCACAUUAGAUUAUUAGACUCCAGAGUACAACAUCCUAGACUGGAUACUUUUUUUCCCUCUGGCUGAUAAUGUAUUAAAAAAAUAAAGCAUGGUGUAACAGAUGUCUCUUGGGGUAA
ensembl:lncRNA